rnacentral:rRNA from 1 species
GACGAACGCUGGCGGCAGGCCUAACACAUGCAAGUCGAGCGGACAUUUCGGGGUCAGCGGCGGACGGGGGAGUACGGCGUGGGAAUAUGCCCUUCUCUACGGAAUAGUCCUGGGAAACUGGGGGUCAUGCAGCAUAGGCCAAUAGGGGGUAGGAUUUUUCGGGGCAGGCUUAGGCCGUGUUGGAUUAGGUGGUUGGUGGGGGAAUGGCCGACCAUGCCGUCGAUCCAUGGCUGGUUGGAUAGGAUGCUCAGGCACACUUGGACUGAGACACGGCCCAGUCUCCUACGGGAGGGAGGAGUGGGGAAUCUUAGGCAAGGGGGGCAGCCCUGAUCUAGCCAUGCCGCGUGUGUGAUGAAGGCCUUAGUGUUGUAAAUCUCUUUCAGCUGGGAAGAUAAUGACGGUACCAGCAGAAGAAGCCCCGGCUAACUCCGUG